rnacentral:rRNA from 1 species
UACGUAGGGUGCAAGCGUUGUCCGGAAUUAUUGGGCGUAAAGAGCUUGUAGGCGGUUUGUCGCGUCUGCUGUGAAAUUUCGGGGCUCAACCCCGAACUUGCAGUGGGUACGGGCAAACUAGAGUGUGGUAGGGGAGACUGGAAUUCCUGGUGUAGCGGUGAAAUGCGCAGAUAUCAGGAGGAACACCGAUGGCGAAGGCGGGACACUGGGCCGCUACUGACGCUGAGAAGCGAAAGCAUGGGGAGCGAACAGG